rnacentral:rRNA from 1 species
UACGGGGGGAGCAAGCGUUGUUCGGAUUUACUGGGCGUAAAGGGCGCGUAGGCGGCGUAACAAGUCACUUGUGAAAUCUCCGGGCUUAACUCGGAGCGGUCAAGUGAUACUGUUGUGCUAGAGUGCGGAAGGGGCUACUGGAAUUCUCGGUGUAGCGGUGAAAUGCGUAGAUAUCGAGAGGAACACCUGCGGCGAAGGCGGGUAGCUGGGCCGACACUGACGCUGAAGCGACGAAAGCUAGGGGAGCGAACGGG